AUGCACGCUGGCGGCGUGCCUAAUACAUGCAAGUCGAGCGAACAGACGAGGAGCUUGCUCCUCUGACGUUAGCGGCGGACGGGUGAGUAACACGUGGAUAACCUACCUAUAAGACUGGGAUAACUUCGGGAAACCAGAGCUAAUACCGGAUAAUAUAUUGAACCGCAUGGUUCAAUAGUGAAAGACGGUUUUGCUGUCACUUAUAGAUGGAUCCGCGCCGCAUUAGCUAGUUGGUAAGGUAACGGCUUACCAAGGCAACGAUGCGUAGCCGACCUGAGAGGGUGAUCGGCCACACUGGAACUGAGACACGGUCCAGACUCCUACGGGAGGCAGCAGUAGGGAAUCUUCCGCAAUGGGCGAAAGCUUGACGGAGCAACGCCGCGUGAGUGAUGAAGGUCUUCGGAUCGUAAAACUCUGUUAUUAGGGAAGAACAAAUGUGUAAGUAACUAUGCACGUCUUGACGGUACCUAAUCAGAAAGCCACGGCUAACUACGUG
rnacentral:rRNA from 1 species